CGGGCGUUAAGUUGCAGGGUAUAGACCCGAAACCCGGUGAUCUAGCCAUGGGCAGGUUGAAGGUUGGGUAACACUAACUGGAGGACCGAACCGACUAAUGUUGAAAAAUUAGCGGAUGACCUGUGGCUGGGGGUGAAAGGCCAAUCAAACCGGGAGAUAGCUGGUUCUCCCCGAAAGCUAUUUAGGUAGCGCCUCGUGAAUUCAUCUCCGGGGGUAGAGCACUGUUUCGGCUAGGGGGCCAUCCCGGCUUACCAACCCGAUGCAAACUGCGAAUACCGGAGAAUGUUAUCACGGGAGACACACGGCGGGUGCUAACGUCCGUCGUGAAGAGGGAAACAACCCAGACCGCCAGCUAAGGUCCCAAAGUCAUGGUUAAGUGGGAAACGAUGUGGGAAGGCCCAGACAGCCAGGAUGUUGGCUUAGAAGCAGCCAUCAUUUAAAGAAAGCGUAAUAGCUCACUGGUCGAGUCGGCCUGCGCGGAAGAUGUAACGGGGCUAAACCAUGCACCGAAGCUGCGGCAGCGACACUGUGUGUUGU
rnacentral:rRNA from 2 species